UAAAAAAAUUUUAACCCUGGGCCGGCCGAGAUUUUUUCAACCUUAUUCCCAGACUCCUCCCUAUUCCUAAUUCCCCUUUCUAAUUUAUUUGGCUAUUGUUUUUAAAGUAUCUCCAUAUUUCUUUAGCUUUAUUUUUCUUUUUUCUUUUUUUCUUCUCUGGUCUCCCUGGUUUAAAAAAAAAAAAAAAAAACAUGGGAGGUACGCAAGAACCUACUGUUCAUUUAUGGUACCAAAGAUUCUGCUCGCUAUGUGGUGAAACACCAAUUGACAUCAAACUAACCAAGAAAGCCUCUGAAAGAGGAGAUGGGAACCUUUUCGUUUUCGCAAUAUACGGAGACGGCAACAUCGAAACGCUUUCGCCGACAUGACUGCAACUUGUGGUGAAGGAAGGUAUGCAGAAGUUUAUAAAGGGAAAUUGAAAACUGGAAACCCCGUUGCGAUUAAGCGGCUAAACCAUGGUCCGUUGGAAGAGAUGACCAUCGAUUUCUUAUCUGAGCUCAGAAUUGUAGUUCAUGUUGAUCAUCCAAAUAUUGCUAAGUUGAUUGGCUAUAUAAUAUAUUUUUUAAAUUUAUUUUAUAUA